rnacentral:rRNA from 1 species
UUAAAGCCCUGUCAGAUGGGAAGAAGGGUCUUGAGGUAAAUAAUCGCGAGAUCUUGACGGUACCAUCGGAGGAAGCACCGGCUAACUCCGUGC